GACGAACGCUGGCGGCGUGCCUAAUACAUGCAAGUAGAACGCAGUUGCGAACGGGUGAGUAACGCGUAGGUAACUGGCUGGUAGCGGGGGCUAACUACUGGAAACGAUAGCUAAUACCGCAUACUACCAGAUGGACCUGCGUUGUAUUGUCUAGUUGGUGGGGGAACGGCCCACCAAGGCAACGAAACAUCACCGGGCUUGGUGGGUGAUCGGGCCACCUGGGACUUAGACCCGGCCCCGAUCCCUUCCGGAGGGAGCAGUAGGGAAACAUUGGAAAAUGGGGGAACCCUGACCGAGCAACGCCGGGGUAGUGAAGAAGGUUUUCGGAUCGUAAAGCUCUUUUGUGAAGGGAGCGGUACUUACCCAGAAAGGGACGGCUAACUACGUGCCAGCAGCCGCGGUAAUAC
rnacentral:rRNA from 1 species